rnacentral:rRNA from 1 species
AGGACGAACGCUGGCGGCGUGCUUAACACAUGCAAGUCGAACGAUGAACCUCCUUCGGGAGGGGAUUAGUGGCGAACGGGUGAGUAACACGUGGGCAAUCUGCCCUUCACUCUGGGACAAGCCCUGGAAACGGGGUCUAAUACCGGAUACGACACACGACCGCAUGGUCUGUGUGUGGAAAGCUCCGGCGGUGAAGGAUGAGCCCGCGGCCUAUCAGCUUGUUGGUGGGGUGAUGGCCUACCAAGGCGACGACGGGUA